rnacentral:rRNA from 1 species
UACGUAGGGGGCAAGCGUUGUCCGGAAUCAUUGGGCGUAAAGAGCGUGUAGGCGGCCCGGUAAGUCCGCUGUGAAAGUCCAGGGCUCAACCCUGGGAUGCCGGUGGAUACUGUCGGGCUCGAGUCCGGAAGAGGAGUGUGGAAUUCCUGGUGUAGCGGUGAAAUGCGCAGGUAUCAGGAGGAACACCAAUGGCGAAGGCAGCACUCUGGGACGUGACUGACGCUGAGACGCGAAAGCGUGGGGAGCAAACAGG